UUCCCGAGUAGCUGGGACUACAGGCGCCCGCCACCAUGCCUGGCUAAUUUUUUGUGUUUUUAGUAGAGACGGGGUUUCACCGUGUUAGCAGGAUGGUCUGGAUCUCCUGACCUCGUGAUCCGCCUGCCUCGGCCUCCUAAAGUGCUGGGGUUACAGGCGUGAGCCACCGCGCCCGGGUGGCUGAAGCUUUUAUUGCGGUUCAGGGUAUUACCCAAGCAGGUUUUCCACAGGGAGUUCUAAUUGCCUGGUGUACAGCAAGUGACCACGAGCUCUGUGGAGUCACUGCAGCAAAUCUUCCCAGUCCGUGCAGGAUGCGGGGGUCAGUGGGAGAGUCAAGCAGGCUGUGUCCAGCUGUCCCGGAGGGAGGUGGCCCCUGGGAGCCGAAGGGAGAAAGGAGAUAACUGGAUUGACCACACUGAAGACCUGGGAGGAGGCAGAGAGCUGGAAACUGUGUCAAGGGUGAUUAAGCCCUGCUUCUGGUACAAGAAAGUUAAACCUAGAUUUAAAAUGGAUGCCGAGGAAACAUCAAAUGAGUUUGGUUUCAAUUCAUUAGAAGACGG
rnacentral:lncRNA from 10 species